rnacentral:rRNA from 1 species
CUUUGGUGGCGACCGGCGCACGGGUGCGUAACGCGUAUGUAACCUACCUAGUAACAGGGGCAUAACACUGAGAAAUUGGUACUAAUUCCCCAUAAUAUUCGGAGAGGCAUCUCUCCGGGUUGAAAACUCCGGUGGUUAUAGAUGGACAUGCGUUGUAUUAGCUAGUUGGUGAGGUAACGGCUCACCAAGGCAACGAUACAUAGGGGGACUGAGAGGUUAACCCCCCACACUGGUACUGAGACACGGACCAGACUCCUACGGGAGGCAGCAUG